UACGGAGGAUGCGAGCGUUAUCCGGAUUUAUUGGGUUUAAAGGGUGCGUAGGCGGGCUUUUAAGUCAGCGGUAAAAAUUCGGGGCUCAACCCCGUCCGGCCGUUGAAACUGGGGGCCUUGAGUGGGCGAGAAGAAGGCGGAAUGCGUGGUGUAGCGGUGAAAUGCAUAGAUAUCACGCAGAACCCCGAUUGCGAAGGCAGCCUUCCGGCGCCCAACUGACGCUGAGGCACGAAAGUGCGGGGAUCGAACAGG
rnacentral:rRNA from 1 species